UACGUAGGGGGCAAGCGUUAUCCGGAAUUACUGGGUGUAAAGGGAGCGUAGACGGUUAAGUAAGUCUGGAGUGAAAGGCCGGGGCCCAACCCCGGGACUGCUCUGGAAACUAUUGAACUUGAGUGCAGGAGAGGUAAGCGGAAUUCCUAGUGUAGCGGUGAAAUGCGUAGAUAUUGGGAGGAACAUCAGUGGCGAAGGCGGCCAACUGGGCUUUUACUGACGCUGAGGCUCGAAAGCGUGGGGAGCAAACAGG
rnacentral:rRNA from 1 species